rnacentral:rRNA from 1 species
CCUACGGGCGACAGCAGUGAGGAAUAUUGGUCAAUGGGCUUACGCCUGAACCAGCCAAGUCGCGUGAGGGAAGACUGCCCUAUGGGUUGUAAACCUCUUUUGUCAGGGAGCAACGCCGGCUACGUGUAGCCGGACUGAGAGUACCUGAAGAAAAAGCAUCGGCUAACUCCGUGCCAGCAGCCGCGGUAAUACGGAGGAUGCGAGCGUUAUCCGGAUUUAUUGGGUUUAAAGGGUGCGUAGGCGGAAUGCCAAGUCAGCGGUAAAAUCGCGGGGCUCAACCUCGCUCCGCCGUUGAAACUGGCGGUCUUGAGUGGGCGAGAAGUAUGCGGAAUGCGUGGUGUAGCGGUGAAAUGCAUAGAUAUCACGCAGAACUCCGAUUGCGAAGGCAGCAUACCGGCGCCCAACUGACGCUGAAGCACGAAAGCGUGGGUAUCGAACAGGAUUAGAUACCCUAGUAGUC